rnacentral:rRNA from 1 species
UACGGAGGGUGCAAGCAUUGCUCGGAAUCACUGGGCGUAAGGGGCGUGUAGGCGGGAAGGAAAGUCGGGCGUGAAAUCCCUGGGCUCAACCCAGGAACUGCACUCGAAACUUCUUUUCUUGAGUGCCGGAGAGGAAAGCGGAAUUCCUGGUGUAGAGGUGAAAUUCGUAGAUAUCAGGAGGAACACCAGUGGCGAAGGCGGCUUUCUGGACGGUAACUGACGCUGAGACGCGAAAGCGUGGGGAGCAAACAGG